rnacentral:lncRNA from 10 species
UCUGCUUCUAGAAAGAGGUCUUUUGAACUAUAUUCUAUGGAAACUUAUAGCUCAAGUUAUAAUAAUAGGCUUUUAUUGGGAUAAUACCCAUUAGCAUAUUAAAGACUCAGAGAUCCUACAGAGAAAAAAAUAACAAAAAACUAAACUCAACUAUCUAGGCUGGGUGCAGUGGCUCACGCCUGUAAUUCCAGCACUUUGGGAGGCCAAGGUGGGUGCGUCGCUUGAGGUCAUGAGUUCGAGACCAGCCUGGCCAACAUGGUGAAACCCCCUGUCUCUACCAAAAAUACAAAUUUAGCUGAGCAUGGUAGCGCAUACCUGUAAUCCCAGCUACUCAGGAGGCUG